GACGAACGCUGGCGGCGUGCUUAACACAUGCAAGUCGAACGGCAAGGCCCUGCUUUUGUGGGGUGCUCGAGUGGCGAACGGGUGAGUAACACGUGAGUAACCUGCCCUUGACUUUGGGGUAACUUCAGGAAACUGGGGCUAAUACCGGAUAGGAGCUCCUGCUGCAUGGUGGGGGUUGGAAAGUUUCGGCGGUUGGGGAUGGACUCGCGGCUUAUCAGCUUGUUGGUGGGGUAGUGGCUUACCAAGGCUUUGACGGGUAGCCGGCCUGGGAGGGUGACCGGCCACAAGGGGACUGAGAUACGGCGCAGACUGCUACAGGAGGCAGCAGGCGGGAAUAUUGCACAGUGGGCGGGAGCCUGAUGAGGCGACGUCGCGUUCGGGAUGACGGCCUUCGGGUUGUAAACAGCUUUCGCCUGAGACGAAGCGUGAGUGACGGUAACGAGUAAAGAAGCACCGGCUAACUACGUG
rnacentral:rRNA from 1 species